CCUGCUGAGGUCUCGUCCCCGGAUGAUUCUCCCAGUGCAAAGCCUUGUGUGCCUCGCUGCCUUCGGCCUGGCCCUCCCCUUGGCCAUCAGUCUGUUCCCGCAGAUGUCCGAGAUUGAGAAGUCUGGGCUGGAG